rnacentral:rRNA from 1 species
UCCUACGGGAGGCAGCAGUGGGAAAUAUUGCACAAUGGGGGAAACCCUGAUGCAGCCAUGCCGCGUGUGUGAAGAAGGCCUUCGGGUUGUAAAGCACUUUCAGUAGGGAGGAAGGUAGUGUAGUUAACACCUGCAUUAUUUGACGUUACCUACAGAAGAAGCACCGGCUAACUCCGUGCCAGCAGCCGCGGUAAUACGGAGGGUGCGAGCGUUAAUCGGAAUUACUGGGCGUAAAGCGCAUGCAGGCGGCCUGUUAAGUCAGAUGUGAAAGCCCGGGGCUUAACCUCGGAAUUGCAUUUGAAACUGGCAGGCUAGAGUCUUGUAGAGGGGGGUAGAAUUUCAGGUGUAGCGGUGAAAUGCGUAGAGAUCUGAAGGAAUACCAGUGGCGAAGGCGGCCCCCUGGACAAAGACUGACGCUCAGAUGCGAAAGCGUGGGGAGCAAACAGGAUUAGAUACCCUGGUAGUCCACGCCGUAAACGAUGUCUACUUGGAGGUUGUGGCCUUGAGCCGUGGCUUUCGGAGCUAACGCGUUAAGUAGACCGCCUGGGGAGUACGGUCGCAAGAUUAAAACUCAAAUGAAUUGACGGA